AACGAACGCUGGCGGCAGGCUUAACACAUGCAAGUCGAACGCCCCGCAAGGGGAGUGGCAGACGGGUGAGUAACGCGUGGGAAUCUACCCAGAUCUUCGGAACAACUGAGGGAAACUUCAGCUAAUACCGGAUACGCCCUACGGGGGAAAGAUUUAUCGGAUUUGGAUGAGCCCGCGUUGGAUUAGCUAGUUGGUGGGGUAAUGGCCUACCAAGGCGACGAUCCAUAGCUGGUCUGAGAGGAUGAUCAGCCACACUGGGACUGAGACACGGCCCAGACUCCUACGGGAGGCAGCAGUGGGGAAUAUUGGACAAUGGGCGAAAGCCUGAUCCAGCCAUGCCGCGUGAGUGAUGAAGGCCUUAGGGUUGUAAAGCUCUUUCAGUAGGGAAGAUAAAUGACGGUACCUACAGAAGAAGCCCCGGCUAACUUCGUG
rnacentral:rRNA from 1 species